rnacentral:rRNA from 1 species
UUGCUCGUGUUUAAUCUAUGUGUGCACCACCUCUUCCCAUUCCGAACAGAGAAGUGAAAGCGUAUAAGCCUGAUGAUACUUGGUGUAAAUCAACGCCCGGGAAAGUAGGGUACGCCAACAUA